rnacentral:rRNA from 1 species
GGCGAACGGGUGAGUAACGCGUUGGUGACCUUGCCCCGAAGAGGGGGAUAACAGUCCGAAAGGAUUGCUAAUACCCCAUGUGGUUAUUUCGGAUUAGAUGCCUGAUAACAAAAGGAGAAAUUCGCUUCGGGAGGGACCUGCGUCCCAUCAGCUAGUUGGUGAGGUAACGGCCCACCAAGGCUACGACGGGUAGGGGACCUGAGAGGGUGGCCCCCCACAAUGGAACUGAAACACGGUCCAUACACCUACGGGUGGCAGCAGUAGGGAAUAUUAGUUAAUGUGCGAAAGCGCGAACUAGCAACGCCGCGUGCACGAUGAAGGCCUUCGGGUCGUAAAGUGCUUUUUGAGGGGAUGAGAAAGGACAGUACCCUCAGAAUAAGUCUCGGCUAACUACGUGCCAGCAGCCGCGGUAAAACGUAGGAGGCGAGCGUUAUCCGGAUUUACUGGGUGUAAAGCGCGUGCAGGCGGUUUGGUAAGUUGGAUGUGAAAGCUCCUGGCUUAACUGGGAGAGGUCGUUCAAUACUACCAGACUUGAGGGCGGUAGAGGGAGGUGGAAUUCCGUGUGUAGUGGUGAAAUGCGUAGAUAUACGGAGGAACACCAGUGGCGAAAGCGGCCUCCUAGACCGAUCCUGACGCUCAGACGCGAAAGCUAGGGUAGCAAACGGGAUUAGAGACCCCGGUAGUCCUAGCUGUAAACGAUGUGAA